GCAGACUAGCCACCGAUGACUGGAUUAGUAAUACAAACACCUGUUGGCUACCCACUACAAGCCAGAGAGGGCUUUGUUAGCUUGAUAAAUUAAAACUUGCCCUGGUUCUGGUCCCCGAUAUCACCCAAGAUCUGUUUGGUUCACAGAUAGCUCUCCGAGAACAGGCUUUCUCGGCUUACUUUACAAGAGGCUUUAGAGGUAGGAAGAGAGAGCAAAGACAAAUAGCUACAGCAUGCCACUCAGGCUGGACAAAGUCCUCCAUCAAGAGACUCAGGACACGGAACUGAAUCGGUUCCCCAGAUUUCAGAUCGGCGUCUGUGAAGAUGCCGAUGUUUGCACCGUCACCAGCAGCGAACGAGGAUUCCCUCUCCACGGCCUCUCCACCAUUUGUUGUCAGCAUUCCAGGUUUUAAACUAAGAUCUCUGGUCACUUUGAACUGAUUUUUGUGGAAGGUGAAAGCUACUGGUCCUGUGGUGGGGAGUGCCCAUGAACUCAUAUGGAAUGACUGAUGCUUCUAACUUGAGAGACCCACAAGAGGUCCAACAAGACAUCCCAUGAAGGAAUAUCACAGGUAGUUACAAUAGAGGGUAGCUCUCUUUGUGUCUAGAGGAUGCUAAGGCACUGAAGGCUGUGCAAAUAUUCACAAGGCCUCUUUCCCUGA